rnacentral:SRP_RNA from 1 species
UUUUGAGACUUGUGCAAUAGGGUUUUUAAGCAAUGCUUCAGGGUGGGAACACAGCAGAGCACUUGAAAAUUUUAUGUGCCGCAAGUAUCUUAAGAGGG